GCGGGUGUAGUUUAAUGGCAGAACACGACUUUUCCAAAGUCGAUACGAGGGUUCGAUUCCCUUCACCCGCUCCA
rnacentral:tRNA from 1 species